GCCCAUUUGGCUCAGUGGAUAGAGCGUCAGCCUGUGGACUGAAGGGCCCCAGGUCAAGGGCAUAUGCCUGGGUUGCAGGCUCAAUCCCCAGUAGUGGGCG
rnacentral:tRNA from 1 species